GGUGUGUUUAAAACAAGCCUGGAUGUGGCACUGGGUGCCAGGGUUUGGUUGAGGGGUUGGGGCUGGGUUGGACUCAGUCUUGCAGCUCUCAUCCAACCUGGUCAUUCUGUGAAUUCUGUGAGUUCUGUGGAACAUUCCCCAUCUCCCUUGGGUGCUGACAGCUCCAGGAGAGCCGGGGCUGGAAGCACAGUGAGCCAGGAGCAUUUAUUCCAUGAACCUCCUUCUCCAGUGACUGUUCUCCUCCUGCCUCUCCUCGGAUUAAGGAGGCGAGGAGAGCUGGAGGAGCAGCAUUAGACUUUCUAUUCUGAGCAAUCACCAAAAUCCACUCAGGAAGUUUAAUUGCUUCAAGUAAAACUUAUAAAUACCAACAGGGCACAAAGCACUUCAGCUGGCAAUUUUCUUCACUGCUUUCUGAGGAUUCAAAUGAUAUUUUUCAUUCCCUAUUGUUGUUCUAAAGGUUUUGGAAGAGCACUGAUUAUUUUUUUCUUUCCUUUUUUUUUUUUUUGGGGGGGGGGGGUGGAAUUUUUUUUUACCUCUUCAAGCCCUGCACUUCCCUCCUAAAACAUGUUCCAGUCAAGUUCAUUGAAAUUGCCUUGGUAUUGUCAGAAAAAUCAGUUUGACUGCUUCAUCUUGUAGAACUUUCAAAGCUAAAAAUUAACUGACAUUUCCAAGUGAAAUGUCAUUUUGCUCCAAAUAAAUAAAUAAAUAAAUCCAAUGUUUUGACAUUUUUAAAGCACUCUUCCUUUGUAAAAGGGAAAGAAGUUCUUUAAAUGAAAGUCCUGUCAAAACUGAAUUUUUUUUCCUCUCUUUUUUUGCUCAGAGAAACUUUGAUUUUUAUGGAUUUCUUUCUGUGAGAAGAUAUUGUGUGGUUCACCCAUGGGGCCAGGCUGGCCCAAGAGUGACUGGGGGGGAUCCUAAGAGGAUGCAACCGGUGUGGAGAGGCACUGGAGGAGGUCUUGGCUGGGAAACUGGAUGGUUCUGCAUCCCUGGCUGCACAUAAAUAUGUAUUUCCCAUCCCUGGCAGUGUCCAAAGCCAGGCUGGACAGGGCUUGAAGCAUUAUGGGAUAGAGUGGAAGGUGUCCCUGCCCAUGGCAGGGCAUGGAACAGGAUGGGCUUUAAGGUCCUUUCUAACAAAAGCCAUUCUGGGAUUCCAUGAUUUUAUAUAAAUAUAUGUAAAUCUUUAUUGUGUGUUGGCUUGGCUGCUUGUUUAGAGGCAAAUUUCCACUGCAGUUGAGCAAUCCAAGCAUUUCCUCUGGUGGCCUGGGACACAGAACCCCGGGAAUGUCUCUAUUCUUCCACUGGGCUCUGGAAAAGUGGAGAUGUCUGAUCACAGAAACCUUGAGGUUGGAGAAGACCUCAAAGGUCAUCAAGUCCAUCCUUUGAUGGGACAGCCCCACUAAGCCAAGUCCUGCAGAGCCACAUCUGCUUGUUUUUGAGCACCUUCCAGGGAUGGGGACUUCACCACUGCCCUGGACAUCCCCUUCUGAUGCCUGACCACCCUUUCAGGGCAGAAAUUUUCCCUAAUAUCCAACCUGAACCUCCCCGGUGCAACCCGAGGCUGUUUCCCUUGCCCUGUCACUGUUACCUGGAAGAAGAGCCCAACCCCGCCUGGCCACAACUUCCAGGGAUUUGUAGGGAUCAGAAGCUCCCCCAACUUGCUGUUGUUUGGGUCAGCCUUGGAAACAGCAGCUUUUCCCCUCCUUGUGUGUUACCUGGCUGUGUGGCUGCUAACGUGAAGAUAAAGAACAGCACCUGAGCAAACAGUUGGUCUCGACUCCAACAUCCCUGAUCCUCACCCCAAGAGCAGCACUGGGAGGUGCCUGAGCGUGGCUUUAGUGUUCACUCACCCACUCCCACUGAAGGAAUGACUUAGAGCCAGACAGGGCUGGGUUUUUUAUUAUUUUGACACUGAUUGAUGUAUUCCCUGCCUUCAGUGGGAGCGGCGUGCCUUGCUGAGGGCAGCAGAUCCCAGUGGGUUCAUUCACACACCUCCCAUGGCUCAGGGGGCUCUGAGAGCCCUGCAGCAGGGCUCAGGAGAGAGGAGAGGGGGCAGAGCUCUCCAACAGCCUCCAAGGUGGGAUCCCUGGGGCUGAGCCUCCACGGGGCAGGGUUAAGGAGUAGCUCAGGGCAGCUUGGGAGAUGUCUCCUGGAGAAAUGGAGAGCAAACAUCUCUGUAGCUGCUUCUCUCCUGCCUUUCGUGCCACGGAGUGCAGCUGAUGUUGCUUAAUCACUGCAGAAUUUUGUAAAUGAUGUGUGGAAGGGGAAAAGGCAGAAAGAAUCCCUUGUUCAUGCAGGGAAAUCUGUGUUGGGAGCAAUUUAUGGCAGAGGUUUCCUGUAAUGACAGGGCAGGAAAACCUUCUGCUCUAAAGGGGUGAAAAAAUAUCCCCUUUGUUUUUAUUUCCAUCUUAAGGGUUUUUUAAAUAUCUUAUUUUCCUGCAAACUAUCCUCACAAAAUACUUCUGGGCCUCCCCAGCCAGUACUUGGGUCAGCCACACUUUUCAUACACUACCAUGGUUUCACCCCCAUUUUCCCUGCUGCUGAGGUUUUAGAGAGGUUUCAAAGCCAAUUCCAUUUCCCCUCUGGUGUUUUGGGAUUUUUCUUCAUUUGUUUCGGGAUUUUUCUUAAUUUGUUUUGGGUGGAUUGGGGUGUUUGGGGUUUUUUUAUGUUGGGUUUUUUUAUGUGGCAAGGCCAUGCAGUUCCCAUGCCUGUAACUCCUGCCCUUGUGCCUUUCUGGGGUGGUCUGGAAGCAGCUGAGCACAGAGAGUGGGAGAACAGCACCAGCAGCCUUGGACAUGCCAAAAACUGCUGCAAAGCAGAGGGGAACCAUGACUGACCAUGGGAAAAGGGUCAUAAUCCCAUAAUUAGAUUCUAGUGGGGAUAUUUAGCUUGAACAUCUGGAAAGUCCUUUUCUCUGUGAGGAGAGAGAACCCUGGGGGGGUUUGAGGCAGCUCAGACAUACCUGAGCUGUUUUUACUGGGGGCACAGCUCCUCCUGGUACUGGAAAAAUGCAGAAUAAGAAUGGCUUGAGAGGACCUGGAGGGAUCACAAAACUCAGCUAUUUUCCUCCAAGUCCUGGGUUAGGCAGUGCUGGCUUUAGCAAGGAUUAGGAUUUAUUUUAUUGGAAGGAGGAUUUGGUUGUCGCAGGCGGAGAUGCCCAUUUGGGAGGCUGGUGAAAGGAUGCCCUUCCACUACCCCAGGCUGCUGCAAGCCCUGUCCAACCUGGUGUUGGACACUUCCAGGGCUGGGGCAGCCACAGCUGCCCUGGGCACCCUGUGCCAGUGCCUAAUAAACACCUGGAACCUGCAUCUCCCACCCUCCCUCUGCCUCCCUCCUUCCAGCAGCCCUUCCCAGGGCUGGCAGCAUCACCAAGCCUUCAGCAGUAACUUCAGAAGAAAGGAAAGGCUUUUGACUAUUCCCUGGCAUGGCUGCAGACCAUCUGAGACCGGCCCAAGAGGAGCUGAAGCCCAGACACAGCCCCAGGCCCGUGGAGCAAAGCUGCUAUUCUGAGAGCCAAGGAAGGCCAGGUUUUAUUGGGGAUGUGUCAGGGCAGGCAGGGAGAUGAGAGGUAGUCAAUGACAUAAGAGAUGUCAGGGUUUAUUUCCAGUAAGAGCCGGUGAAGCUGGGAAAAUUGCUCAUUAAUGCUUUAUUGAUAUUCAUGUUGCUAUUGAAGAAGUCUGGGGUGGGAGGUGGAGCGGGGGGGCCGUGCCCCCGUUAAUGGGGCCAGGCUGAAAAUAGGUUCUUUUAUGCCUGGGCAAAGGGGAUGCACCGACCACGGGAGGUUUGCCUGUGUCAGUCUCUCUAAAUAGAGCCUGGAUCAGUGCUGUGCCUGAGCCAAAAGCUUUGGAGGAAAAAAACUAAUAACUCAGGUCAAACCAUGCCAGGAGCGCUGGAGUUCUUGCUUGCUUUUUUUUUUUUUUCACAAAGGAAAAUUUAAAGCAGAUUGUUGUAAAACUAUGCAAAAUGUUCGUCUGUGGGGUUUGGGACUAUUUAACCCUCAUGUUUGCUUUAGCGUUCUGUUUUUAGAGUAAUUUGAAUUUAAAAUGCUCUAUCAAAAGGAAUUUAUUUCCAAAAUGUCAAAUUACUUUAUUUCAGAAGUGCUGACGGUAAAACGUUUGGCUUUUAAAAAACAAAGCAAACUCCAUUAGCAGUAUGGCAUUGGUGACAUUCACAAAUAUUUUCUGUUUCUCUGAAACUCUUUAUUCCAUAAAUUUCCUACGUCCUGCCCGAUUUUGUAGCCAGGAACCAGGCUGAGCACAGCAGCUCCCCAGGGAAUGUCCCCAAACCAAGCAAUUCCCUGCAUGGCUGCAGCUUUUGGGGCUCACUGGAAAUGGGAUUUUGCAGAACCACAGAAUCCUGGAACGGCUUGGGUUGGAAAAUACCUUAAAACUCUCAUUCCAACCCCUGGAAUGAGGGCAGAGGCACCUUCCACUAGUCCAGGGUGCUCCAAGCCCCAUCCAGCCUGGCCUUGGGCACUGCCUGGUGCUCAUCCCCUGCACAUCCAUCCUCUCAGCCUGUCAGGCUCCAUCUGGAGCAGCCAAAUCACUUUCCCAGCCCUUCCCAGGGCUUGGCUGGAACCUUUCUGUCUGACCUGAGCAGGGAAUGAAGCAGGAGCCUCCCUGGGGAAAGGCAGUGCAAGGCAAGCCUGGCACAGCUCAGUAAUUGGGGCAGGGUAAAACAUCCCCUGUUAGCGUGUUCAGGAGAGCUCUGCCUCUCACCUGUCUCAUGCAGCCUCAUUUCCGGGCUGUGGAUCAGCAGGGAGCAGCCGAUUGCUGGAGACCUGUUGGCACAUCUCAGAGGUCUGCCAUGCAUAAUUCCCAUUUUUUUGGGUUUCGUCUCUUUUUUUGUGUUCUUUUUGCCGUUCCCAUGCCUGUUCACAUGUUUGAUCACAGCAGGAUUUGUGGAAGGGCAGGAUGUAACAUCCCCAAUGCUGAGCCAGACCCCAGUCUCCCUGCUGAACCACGAACUGCUCCUUUUGGAUGUUAUUUUAAGCUCAGUACAUUCCCUGCUCUCCUGCAUCCAGUCUGAUCCUUCUGUCUGCUGGGACAUUGUUUUAAUGGAGCACUGGGCAUUUUACAGGUGCUGAGAAGCUUAUCCUUGUUGUUCCUGGCAUGUAAAAGUAGAAUCACUCUUCUCAUUUUAUAGGUAGAGAACAUUUUCCCUGGUGAUGUCUCCUGCCAGCCUGCUUUCCCAAAGCUGUGGCUUUACUUCCCACUAAAGCUGUGCUGGCAGGGAAAGGGCGGGGUGUUCCCUCCUUGGGACACACCUGGAGGGGCACCCAGAAGAGGGAAAGCUGCUUGCAAAUUCCCUCCCCUGUGUAAGAUGAAUUUUUAUCAGUGCUGGGAUGAUGGAAGAUGCUCCCGUCAGGGUUAUGGCACUGCUGCUCCCAGACCUAAGGCCAUGGAAGCAAUAACACUCAGGAUAUCUCUCUCCGUGGUUUUAUGGUCCUUUUCAUCACCUGAAAGGUGCUUGGUUCAGUUGGAAGUUGAUUAAACUUGCAGGGAAGGAUCAUGAUUUAUGCCUGACCAGUGCUCCCAACCACUUUGUAGCCACAGUGUGAAUUAAGGCUGAUUAAAAUCGAGGGAAGGUUCCCUUCUGCCUCUCACUGGGUUUUUGGAUUGGGAUGUCUGGAGCAUCCUGCCUGUGCUCCACCAGGUCCCUGGCUGCCAGGCACUGAUGGGAGAGGAGGGCACGGGCCAAAACACAAGAGCAGGGCACUUAUUAUUCCAAAUGAAAAGCUGCUCUUCUCAUUAAAGCUGAAAAUUAUGGUCUGCAGAUAACUCUGGUGGCGGUUCAUGGAAUCAAUAAACCCCCAGUUUGUUUUGAAAGCCAAGUUGCCGAAAUGCCAAAAUACAUAUUUUGCAAAUUGCUUAAUUUCCAUUUGAAAAGAUCAAACCUUAUUUCUUCUGAAAGCUGAGAGGUGGGGUGGUUGAGGCAACACACACACAGCAAUUUCAAUCUUCUUUUUCCUGAAAGAUCAGCAUUUAAUGGAAACUGAGAGCAGUGCAGAAACUGCUUCCUUUUGUUUUAUUUUGCUUUUUAAACAUCGACACUGCAGGGAGGUUGAUGGUCUGAGUUACCAGGGAGUCUGGGCUAAUUCCAAAGCAGCUAUAGCUAAUUUUUUGGAAGCAACAUUUCUGACUGUCAAGGUGUCUUCCCACAACAGCUUCUGCCUUUUGGAGGCAUGAUGGUCACCAGCGCCCUCGUGGAUGCUUCUUGCUUCCUAAAAUCCCACUGGGAUGUAGGAUAUCCAAUCUCCUGUCAGGGAUCAGGCUCACAGGAGCACUGUGGAAUCAAGGGUUGCAGGAUGGGUGGGGACUUGGAAUGCUGAGCCUGGAGGUUUCCAAGGGGUUUUGUGGCGAGCUGGGCAGGUGCCAGGUGUGCCCUUGGCACGUGGGGCCUGUCUGAGCCCAGCUGUGGCAUCCGCAGAGCUGAGCAUCCUCCAGCCCCUCCAACCUGUCAAUAACGUUCACAUCAAUUGGCUGCUGACUGCUCAGGAGGGGAGAGGCAAUGCAGGGAUAGACACAGCUGGAAGGAUAAUUUACAGAGAAACAGCUGCAAGGAGAAUUUACAGAGAAACAGCUGCAAGGAUAAUUUACCUCAGAGGUGCCCAUGGCACAUACGGCCCUGCCCUCUGCAUCCCCACCCAGGGACUUCUCUUUCUUUCCCAUAACCACUUAAAAAAUAAAGAUGUAUGAUGCCUACUUGAGCAGAAUAGAUUGUUUUCGAUUGCUAUUCAUCUAUUAUUUUAGAAAGUAAAAUGAAUAAAACUUAUGCAGGUCACAGACAUUAAAGAGCAUUGUUAUAUCAGUUUGGGAGCGCUUGUCAGCUUUGAUUUAUUAAGUAACGUUCCUCGACUGGCUACUGGUGUGUGUUGUCAGUCUCUUGAUAAUGGAUAGACCUCACAGCUGAAUGCUCUGUGAUUAGACUUCUCAACUAUAUAUUUUUAAAUAAAGGCAUUGCUUUUUUGGGUUUGCUCAUUUCCCUCUCUUAGGCAAUUUCAUUCAUCUUCCCUCUCCCUCCCUCUCUCCACUGUAAAUUUGUUGUUGUUGGAAGCUAUGAGGACACUAAAUGGGACACAUCUUAGAGGGUUUGGGUCAGGUUAUUUUUUGUUCCCCCCCAGGCUUGCUUCCAACUCAACUUGAUGGAUUAAAUGUCAUGGGGGGAGAAAAGUGUGUAAGAGAAGCUAUAGAACACCUUUCCAGAGAGAACACAGCACGUGCUGCUCUCUUACUACUGUGCCAGCAUCUUUACUGUCACACUGCUCUUCCCUGGGCCUUAGGGAUGGAGUUACCAGGGCUGCAUGGAGUGGUGGGUGUGGGAGCCCUCAACCUCUCCAAAGGGAGCAGGGGCUGAGCAAACCCAACACUGCCAGCCCUGGUCCCUCCUCCCUGAGGCUGCAGGGAUUUAAUGGAAUGGGAAGCCUUGCCUGGCUGAUGAGGAGCGUUCAGGGAAAUUCAGGGGUGCUCUGGUAUCUCCUCUCACCACAACAGUUUGUUUUCCCUUUGGAGGAUGGCCCUAUGCUGCCUGGCUGAGCUCAAAUCCCACUGCUGGAGUCUCUCCAAGGGCGGCUCGGGAGCCCCUUGGCCGCGAUGGGCAGGGAUUUGCAGCGAGCUCUGAGCUGCUGUUACCAGGCACGUGCUGGGAUCUUCUCCUGGGAACGGCAGCAAAUGGGACUGAAGAUGAGUAUCCUGGGCUAAAAUCCUCAGCUAGAACUGUAAUUAUGCUUUCAUAAAGAGCUGAGCUGGAACGAGGAUGAGAUUGUUUCCCCAGGGGCUGCAAGAGCACUGGGACUGACUCAUUAGCGUGGAAUUGCAACAGCGCAGGUGGGAGGCCACCAAGUGCCUUUGUAAAUGAGUCUUGCAGAUCCUUCAGGAAGGGCAAAACUCAACAACUUCCCUGGGAUGCUGGGAUGAGGCAGCGACCUCCGCUUUUGUUAUCCAAGGCUUUGGUCUCAGACCAAAACUGAUCUGUCUGACUUGGGAAAUGCAGAAUGCAUUUAAGAUAAGGAUAAGGAAAAAAAAUAUUGCACUGAUUUCAAAAGCCUUUUUACUCUUGUAUGACUCCAAAAAUUGCUUUUGAUUUAAAGGUUAAGAUCUGACAAGCCAACCGACCUCCUUAAAGAUCUUUUCUUUACCCUCCUCUUUUCCUCCCCGACACCUUCAAAACUUAAAAUAUGAGAAAAUCUGUGUUGGGUCAUCUGUAUGGGGAGGGGGCAGCAAUUUCUUUGGGAAGCUCUUCCUGCUGCCCCUCCACUGCCGGCUGGGGACACAUUGGUCACACAAGGACUUGGUUUCCCCAGGCUGCAUCAUCCUCUGGUCCCUCUCACAGCAAGAUCCAGGCCUGGGCUGAGUGACCCCAUGGGGGAAGGGUGGGGGGGUGAGGAAGAGGAGUGCCAGAGAGGAUAGAGCAGGGUUUGGAGCCUGUGGAAGGACAAGUGACGUGUCCAUGGUGAUUUGAUGUGAUGGUUGGCUGCAGGAGGCCUCUCUCCAGCCGGGUGUGCUCCCAGCAAUGUCUUUGCAGUUCAUUAAGUGUCUCCUGCUGCUGUUCCUCAGCCUGAAAUGGCCUUAGCGGCUUUGCAUGUUCCAGUGACACUGCCAUUGUCUCCCAAUAACACACACAUUCAUUAUGAAGCCAGAUUGUUCAUUUACACCUUGAAAUGAUAACGCUGCUGCUCACUUAACAAAUCCAACCCCAGUGUGCUCUGAAGAGGCUCGUUGGGGCAUUUUUGGUUUGUCCCUACCGACUGUUGUUUCUUAAGCUGCCCUGGUGACAGGCAGGCGGAAAUGUCAUGGACAAAAAGUGCCCGAGGCUCUCAUGCCAGGAGGGCCCCUGAUCUUGGGGAGGUGGAUUUGCCAUCAGGGAGAGGAAUCAGUUGCCAGGCCCCCCAGGUGUGAAGAUGAGGGUCCCCACUGAGAUGGAGCAGCAGAUUAGAGCCAAACUCCCUCAGGGUCUGUGGAGUUGGUGGGAAAACACCCAGGGAAUUCCACUGACAUGUCCCAACCUUGGCACUGGGGGAAGGAGUCCUGGGUUGGUUGUGCCACUUUUGGCUCGACGAGGAGCUCCCUGCCAGGCUCAUCCUGUUCGGUGCCAUGUUCUAGGCAGGAGCAGGGCUGAAAUCUCACCCAGUAUUUCCCAUGGCCUGAGGGCAAACAGCUUCAGCCCUUCUUUGCUUUAGACUCAGCCUGAAUGCAGGAAAACCUCCAGGUCCUGCAGCAGAAUCCACCUAACCAAGUCUUUUAUUACUCUUCUUUUUUUUCUUUUUCUUCCUCUGAGUAAAAACAUCUACACUUUCUCCAAUUUACCAGGUAAAAUCCUGGAGCAUUCCUCCCUGAGAACAUAUCAAACAACAUCCUCCAGUUUCCCUGUGCCACUGGUGCUUCUCCUCCCAGCCGAACGUCCUCCGCGUGCCCUUCUCCAUCCUUGGCAUCCAUGGGGAAUUCAUGGGUUAUCAGCAGGAGUUCGGACUUCCAGGUUAGGGACAGUGAGGGGAUAUGGACGUGCCAGUGGAUGUUCCACAGGGAAGCUGCUGCCUGGCCCCCCAGCCCUCCCAGUUCCCGCGUGGCUCCUGCUGGAGCACCAGAUGGGGCUUAAUCGGGAGCACCGCGGCGCCGCAGGGUUAUUAUUGAGAGACAUCCAGUUCUGGAUGAGAGAAGAUUAUCCAGGGUUUAUUUCCAGCUGAUAACACUCUGCCCUUCCAUAACACCUUUUAUCUGAGGAUCUCGGAGCUCUUCACAGACUCAGUUAAUUAAGACUCACGUUGCCCCCUGGAGCCGCGGGUGAGACCCGGGCGAGGAGCGCUGGAGCUGCAAUUAGGAGGGAUCGGCUCGGGCAGGCAGAUAAGGCAGAUGAUCUCCUGCCUCGUCUUUGCCGUCUUAUUUGCAUGUUUAUCUUCUCUGUGCAGUUGAGAACAGUGAACCCGGAGGUUGCACUGCCUGCCCAAAGUUCUCAUCAAGCGCUGCGCUGGACUGAAAACCGGCCUGAUCCCCUUUUGCAGCCCCAGAAGGAGCUGGUUGCAGAGAUAUGUCGGUGGUGCAAGAUGCUGACUUUGUCCUCUAAGUCUUCCUUUUCUCCUUUCCCAGUGCUGGCUCUCCAUGGGCUCCACGCCUUGGCUCUGCUCGAGUUUCCUCCCUGCAAACCCAACCUCCAAAUCUUCCUUUGCUGGAAAAUAACAACAAAACCCCUCGCAGGCCUCCAAAAAAAGAGCUUUUGCUGCCUCUCCCCACAGGGCCAGAUUCCUCAAUAGUGAUUUCUCUGGAGAAUAGCUGGGCCCGAGGUUUCCUUCCCCUCCUCUUUUCUUUUCUUUACUUUCCCCUAACUAAAAAUCAGGAAGCUCUAAAAUCCUCUUUGAAGUAACACUGUAUGAAGAGGAUUUAUCCUUGUCCACUUAAAUAUUCAUGACAGCUCGCAUUUCUGUUCAAAAAGACACUUGUUUAUUUAGAUAAGAUUUAAUUUAUUCAUAAUUUACCUAAAUUUGCAGGAGCGUGCAUGUACAUUUUAGCUUAUAAGUAGCGUAAUACAUAAAACAUUAUUGAAGCAUGCAAAUUACACAAAUACAGCAUUGGAAACUGCCUGCUUGUUUUAGGCAGAUAACUAAUUUCUUACCCUGAGUAGAGACACAAACACAAUUGCCUGGGCUUGUUGCCUGGGAUUUGGCGACUCUGAAUUAUGCUUCUCUUAAUGCAAGAGGCACAGCUUUAGAGCAGGGCCAUGGCAAAGCCCACUUUUCUUGGACUGUGAACCGUAGUAAUGCCAAAGCCCUUUGCUGGAGUUUUUUUUUUGUUUCUAGUCCUCUCUCCAGGGACUCAAUUUGGGUUUGUGUGAAAUCUCCAAGUUCCUCUUUGUUUCCUUGGGAUGGGUUAGAAUCUCUAGCAGAAUUUCUAGAAUUUCUAGCAGUCUCACCAGUGCCUGGGGGCUGACGGAGGGAGCAGUUAUCCUUGUUCUACACCAUCCUCUGGCAGUGUGGGAUCUGCUUUCCCUGUGAUGGACCUUGUUUGAGUCAACAGUGGAGCCCCUUGAUCCUAUAAUUAAUCCCUGCACCCCUCAGGGUGACACUUGUUGCUUUCCCCAGGGCAACAAAUGGUCCAGAAGUUCCUCGUAGCCCCCAAAUAUCCCAUUUUCUACUUGCUUCCAGUUAAUAAUUGCACAAAUUAGCAACCACACAAUGUGCUAGGCUGGAGAACGCAGGCUGAGCUUCCUCCCAAAUCUCCAGCCCCCUGUGCCACAGGACAGCAGCACAAGGGCUGAGGCUGGAGGUGCAGCAGGGAUUUUUGUGUUCUGGGCACAGGCACUGCUCUCAGCACCGUUAGAAAUUGUUCCUAACAGGAGCAAUUCCGGUCAGGAACGAGAUGUUUGCAGCUGUAAAUAUGGAAUAUAGGGUUUGUGUCUGUGAAGCCCGUAGGAGAUCUCUCAAAGAUGGGAAUAUUGGGCAGAUCCUGCUGGGCAGGGCUGUGUUACCCACAGCCUGUAAUUAAGGCUCUGUGACACCUCCCACCAGACUCUGCUUUCCCUUCCUUGUCUGUGCCAGGCUGCAACUGUUUGGGCUGGAAUUCCCAGGGCCAGAUGUCCUCCGUGGCUUCACAGGCUUUGUUUGUUUGUUCUGCAGGGAUGGACGAGCAGGGAUGGGGACGGCAGGGCUGCCUGGUGCUUUUGCUUUUUCCCAGCUGAAAUCAGAGCCAACGUUUUCUAUCGUUUUCCAGACUGAGUUUAAUGGGAAAAAAUACAUUUUCCCUGGGUUUGCCUGCUGCAAAAAUCACUAAUGAGUAUCUCCAGAGCCUGAGCGCUUCAGGACAGGGCAGGUUUUUUGGUGGAUCAUGAAAAUGACAUAUUUUAAUCUUGGAAAAGCCGUUACACCUCA